ACUCUCUUGCUCUCAUUUUCUACGGGUACACACACAAAUCAUAAUUUCUCACUCACUUUGCUCUCUUUUUCUCUUAAGGAAAGAGGUAGGAAGCUCCCUUGAGUCUUUCUCUCAAUUCCACCAGUUCAUAUACCAAAAGAAAGACAAGACUUAUCUCAUUUCUUAUUCACACUUUCUCAAAGAAACUAGAAGACUCAAAAACUCUCUCAAGCUCUCUACCUCUCAUAGUUUCGGGUCCAGCCACUAGGAAAGGGAAAUCCUUUCAUGCAAGAGUGAUUUAUUUCUAUUUUCCCUCAAGAACCAUAAAAUUGGUUUUAUUUUUAGAGUAGAGGGAGCCUUUUCGAGUUUUGGAAGGAGCUGGUUUUAGUUUUAUAUGUAUAGAUCCUAAAUUAGUAUUGGAUGUUUAGAUUGUAGUAUAGUGUAUUUUAGGAUCUAAUGAAAGUGUGUACCUUAAAGUAUUAAGAGAUGUAUUAUGUGAAAUUUAGAAUUUGAAUAACUAGUGGAUUGUGUUAUCCUUUGAAGUAAAA